ACGGAAGGCAGCAGUGGGGGAUAUUGCACAAUGGGCGAAAGCCUGAUGCAGCAACGCCGCGUGAGGGAAGACGGUUUUCGGAUUGUAAACCUCUGUUUUUGGUGAAGAUAAUGACGGUAGCCAAAGAGAAAGCCACGGCUAACUACGUGCCAGCAGCCGCGGUAAUACGUAGGUGGCAAGCGUUGUCCGGAAUUACUGGGUGUAAAGGGAGCGCAGGCGGGACAGCAAGUUGGAUGUGAAAUACCGCAGCUUAACUGCGGAGCUGCAUCCAAAACUGUAGUUCUUGAGUGGAGUAGAGGCAGGCGGAAUUCCGAGUGUAGCGGUGAAAUGCGUAGAUAUUCGGAGGGACACCAGUGGCGAAGGCGGCCUGCUGGGCUCUAACUGACGCUGAGGCUCGAAAGUGUGGGGAGCAAACAGGAUUAGAUACCCUGGUA
rnacentral:rRNA from 1 species